UGGGGAAUAUUGGACAAUGGGCGAAAGCCUGAUCCAGCCAUGCCGCGUGUGUGAAGAAGGUCUUCGGAUUGUAAAGCACUUUAAGUUGGGAGGAAGGGCAUUAACCUAAUACGUUAGUGUUUUGACGUUACCGACAGAAUAAGCACCGGCUAACUCUGUGCCAGCAGCCGCGGUAAUACAGAGGGGGCAAGCGUUAAUCGGAAUUACUGGGCGUAAAGCGCGCGUAGGUUGUUUGUUAAGUUGGAUGUGAAAUCCCCGGGCUCAACCUGGGAACUGCAUUCAAAACUGACUGACUAGAGUAUGGUAGAGGGUGGUGGAAUUUCCUGUGUAGCGGUGAAAUGCGUAGAUAUAGGAAGGAACACCAGUGGCGAAGGCGACCACCUGGACUAAUACUGACACUGAGGUGCGAAAGCGUGGGGAGCAAACA
rnacentral:rRNA from 1 species